rnacentral:tRNA from 1 species
UCAGUGGUGGUUCAGUGGUAGAAUUCUCACCUUCCAUGUGGGAGACCCAGGUUCGAUUCUAUGCCAAUGGA